CUGAAUAAUUAUGCCGAUCGCACAGUCCUUUGCACUGGCGACGUAUCUUUCAAAUGUCUGGCUUAUCAACUUUCGACGGUAGUUUAACUGGCUACCGUGGUAGUUACGGGUAACGGAGAAUAAGGGUUCGACUCCGGAGAGGGAGCCUGAGAAACGGCUACCACAUCCAAGGAAGGCAGCAGGCACGCAAAUUACCCACUCCCGGCACGGGGAGGUAGUGACGAAAAAUAACGAGACGGUUCUCUAAGAGGCCCGUCAUCGAAAUGGGUACAAUUUAAAUCCUUUAACGAGGAUCUAUUGGAGGGCAAGUCUGGUGCCAGCAGCCGCGGUAAUUCCAGCUCCAAAAGCGUAUAUUAAAGUUGUUGCGGUUAAAAAG
rnacentral:rRNA from 1 species